GAUGAACGCUGGCGGCGUGCCUAAUACAUGCAAGUCGAGCGAACAGACGAGGAGCUUGCUCCUCUGACGUUAGCGGCGGACGGGUGAGUAACACGUGGAUAACCUACCUAUAAGACUGGGAUAACUUCGGGAAACCGGAGCUAAUACCGGAUAAUAUAUUGAACCGCAUGGUUCAAUGGUGAAAGACGGUUUUGCUGUCACUUAUAGAUGGAUCCGCGCCGCAUUAGCUAGUUGGUAAGGUAACGGCUUACCAAGGCAACGAUGCGUAACCGAGCUGAGAGGGUGAUCGGCCACACGGGAACUGAGACACGGUCCAGACUCCUACGGGAGGCAGCAGUAGGGAAUCUUCCGCAAUGGGCGAAAGCUUGACGGAGCAACGCCGCGUGAGUGAUGAAGGUCUUCGGAUCGUAAAACUCUGUUAUUAGGGAAGAACAAAUGUGUAAGUAACUAUGCACGUCUUGACGGUACCUAAUCAGAAAGCCACGGCUAACUACGUG
rnacentral:rRNA from 1 species